GAUGAACGCUGGCGGCGUGCUUAACACAUGCAAGUCGAACGAAGCACUUUGAAAGCUUGCUUUUAGAGUGACUGAGUGGCGGACGGGUGAGUAACGCGUGGGUAACCUGCCUUAUACAGGGGGAUAACAGUUGGAAACGACUGCUAAUACCGCAUAAGCGCACAGUGCCGCAUGGCACAGUGUGAAAAACUCCGGUGGUAUAAGAUGGACCCGCGUCUGAUUAGCUAGUUGGUGAGGUAACGGCUCACCAAGGCGACGAUCAGUAGCCGGCUUGAGAGAGUGGUCGGCCACAUUGGGACUGAGGCACGGCCCAAACUCCUACGGGAGGCAGCAGUGGGGAAUAUUGCACAAUGGGGGAAACCCUGAUGCAGCAACGCCGCGGGAGUGAAGAAGUAUUUCGGUAUGUAAAGCUCUAUCAGCAGGGAAGAUAAUGACGGUACCUGACUAAGAAGCCCCGGCUAACUACGUGCCAGCCGCCGCCGUAAUAC
rnacentral:rRNA from 1 species